rnacentral:rRNA from 1 species
UCCCAGACUCCUACGGGAGGCAGCAGUGAGGAAUAUUGGUCAAUGGCCGGAAGGCUGAACCAGCCAAGCCGCGUGAAGGACGAAGGUGCCAAGCAUUGUAAACUUCUUUUGUCAAGGGACAAAAUCAGGCUCGAGAGCCUGACCGAGGGUACUUGAAGAAAAAGCAUCGGCUAACUCCGUGCCAGCAGCCGCGGUAAUACGGAGGAUGCGAGCGUUAUCCGGAUUUAUUGGGUUUAAAGGGUGCGUAGGCUGUGAGGUAAGUCAGCGGUGAAAUGCCCCCGCUCAACGGGGUGAAGUGCCAUUGAUACUGCCUUGCUGGAAUGCGGAUGCCGUGGGAGGAAUGUGUGGUGUAGCGGUGAAAUGCAUAGAUAUCACACAGAACACCGAUUGCGAAGGCAUCUCACGAAUCCGCGAUUGACGCUGAUGCACGAAAGCGUGGGUAUCAAACAGGAUUAGAUACCCGAGUA